UGUACAGUAGCUCAGCUGGAUUUCCUCACCCCUUCAUGACAUGCAGUGAGCCGAUGCCACCAGCAGAUGCAAAGGCGAUUCAAAGCCUGAACUCCAACUGAAUAGAAGAA
rnacentral:lncRNA from 8 species